CCUACGGGGGGCAGCAGUAAGGAAUAUUGGUCAAUGGACGAAAGUCUGAACCAGCCAUCCCGCGUGCAGGAUGAAAGCCCUAUGGGUUGUAAACUGCUUUUAGCAGAGAAGAAAAGCUUCCAUUUAUGGGGGUCUGACGGUAUCUGCAGAAUAAGCACCGGCUAACUCCGUGCCAGCAGCCGCGGUAAUACGGAGGGUGCGGGAGUUAUUCGGAAUAAAGGGGGCGUAGGGGGAGGAAGAAGUCAGAUGUGAAAUCUUGUCGCUUAACGAUGAAAUUGCCAAUGAUACUGGUACUCUUGAGUUGGGUUGAGGUUAGCGGAAUGUGACAUGUAGCGGUGAAAUGCAUAGAUAUGUCAUGGAACACCAAUUGCGAAGGCAGCUAACUGGGCCUUGAUUGACGCUGAGGCACGAAAGCGUGGGUAGCGAACAGGAUUAGAUACCCUAGUAGUC
rnacentral:rRNA from 1 species